UACAGCGUGGCCCAACUCGGGACGCCAUACUCUCUAAGGCCUAAUUUAGGCAACGUUGACCCAAAAUACGACACGUUUAAAUGUUAAUAAUGAAUUAGAAUUGAUUAGACUCAUAUUAAAUUCAUCCGUCUGGAUUUCACGUAAUUAUAAAUAAUUAAACGGAAUUUCUCCACUAAAUUGGACUUGGCCUGGAAACAGCGUCAAAGAUUGUUGCUUUUUGUCAAGUACUUGGAAAAAUGACACACGACUUGUCGGUAUUGUCUUUGCUGUUAACAACCGACUACCGUUUAACGGCACUUGUACACACUUGUAGUAAAUAAAAAUAAACCGGCAUUCAUUGACCUAAAAUUGUUAAUUUUGUUUUUACGGCGCUUUUUAAGUGUUUUUUCUUAUAAAAAAAUAAAACACUUGUUUUAUGUCGCACGCUUGCACUUUAAUUAAUAUUGACAUUUAUUUUUUAUUGAUAUUAUUAGUAAGUCGAUAAUGCGUAAAAAAUAUCCAAUAAAAACACAAAAUAUUCGAAACCCUUAGGGGAAAAACUUGUUUUUGAAAAUUUGAUGACAUAUGGACCUAGCCGAAGUUUCUCAUUUUUUGGGACACAGUCAAGUUAUUAGAUAAAAUUUCGCCAGGUGACGUCUUUCCGUACCUUUUUGAGGAUUAUCGGAUUUAUUUAGUUUACUGUCUUGACAGUAAUUCUAUGACGCAGUUAUCUGUUCGUUUGUGUAAAGAACAGUAAAUUACAUGUAUUUGCUUAAGUAAAUCAAUAAAGUACUAGUUUCCACUCUAUAAAUUAUAAAUGUUACUAUUAAAGUAAAUAAUUACUUAGAUAUAAGAUAAUAAAGCACUAUUUCUGUGUGCAGCAAUCUACAAAUGUGUGUUGAAAAUUUAAAUCUUUCAGUCAGUCAACAGUGGCAUUUGAGUGGCAAGUAUUUUUUUGUUGGUAACAUUUUCAGCCUUCUUAUCCUAGAUUAUAAACACUAUUUUAAAACACGCUUUCUAUAGCAACUUGUUUUAAAUCCAACAAAAAAAAUUGUAUAACGCUCGUACGAAAACGCUUAACUCGCAUACGCUCGUUGCAUAACGACAACCCUCGAACUUUAAUCUUGUGACUAAUAUUCUCCAAAGCAAAUAUUUUUUGUUUUCUGAUUUAUAAAAUGAAAUCUGUAAUCACACAUCAGUGAUCAUCGUAAAAUAUUUUAAUGCCCAGGCAGCAAAAAUAUUUUUUUAGUCUGGACCCUAUUUUAUCGUUGGAAAAUGAAAUUGUCAUUAUUGCAGUCGUGAGCUCAAAUUAGGCGGAAUGGAAACAAUAAUUGUAGAAAAUUACAACCAGUUCAACCUUUCUAAACUGUAAUUUUAUCUCGUCAAUUGAAGGGCAUAUAAUGUUGUUGCAUCGCUAUUAUCGGUAUUUUUCAAGCUAUAUCAUUUCGGUAUUAGCAGAACUGGAAUAUUCGAUCUGGGGGGUAAUCAGUAUUAUUGUGUUAUGCAAUUAAGCCUUCAUCACUUCCAAGGCCAAGGGCCAAAAAUAAAUGUGAAGUAUUGCCAACAAUCUUUCUUGGUUUAUUCCCGCCGAAGUUUUAAUUACUGCAAGAAAUAAACUCGAGACAUUUGAGGAAAUAAUCAUUGAUCGGCCGCCUCCACAGUUUGCUGCCACCUCCUCAGAGAUAGUUGGGGUUUUAUCAUUUAUAAGAGUUUAUUUUUGUCGUAUGAUGGGUGUCGAAAAAGUCAUUGAUGAAGGUGACAAUCAAAAAAUUCUUGGCCCAAAUCCAUAGGUUUAUAUAAGUGUCUUGCAUCAUUACCGGCCAGUUCCGAUGUAAUCAUAAUUCAGUUCGAAGUUGACGACAGUUCGGCCAUGGCAAUUUUCACAAGAUGCACCAGAAACAUGACCGUUGCUAAAUUGGGGAUUUUGUCGGCCGUUACUGACAUGAACCAAGUUCUUUGUGUGUUUAUCAUCGCACGGACUCUGCGACAAGCUUUCAGAAAUUUCUGAAGAGAAUCAGUAUUACUUGGACGGCAUGUAUGGACUGUAUUAAUUAAUUGGCAAUAAAUUUUAUUUAAUU